UACGUAGGUGACAAGCGUUGUCCGGAUUUACUGGGCGUAAAGAGCUCGUAGGCGGUUUGUCGCGUCUGCUGUGAAAACCUAAGGCUCAACCUUGGGCUUGCAGUGGGUACGGGCAGACUAGAGUGCGGUAGGGGUGACUGGAAUUCCUGGUGUAGCGGUGGAAUGCGCAGAUAUCAGGAGGAACACCGAUGGCGAAGGCAGGUCACUGGGCCGCAACUGACGCUGGAGGAAGCGGAAAGCAUGGGGAGCGAACAGG
rnacentral:rRNA from 1 species